GGACUACAAGGGUUUCUAAUCCUGUUCGCUCCCCACGCUUUCGCUCCUCAGCGUCAGAACAGGCCCAGAGAACCGCCUUCGCCACCGGUGUUCCUCCCGAUAUCUGCGCAUUUCACCGCUACACCGGGAAUUCCAUUCUCCCCUGCCUGCCUCCAGCCUGCCCGUAUCCACGGCAAGCCCGGGGUUAAGCCCCGGGAUUUCACCGCAGACGCAACAGGCCGCCUACGAGCUCUUUACGCCCAAUAAUUCCGGACAACGCUCGCGCCCUACGUAUUACCGCGGCUGCUGGCAC
rnacentral:rRNA from 1 species